rnacentral:rRNA from 1 species
GAUGAACGCUGGCGGCGUGCCUAAUACAUGCAAGUCGAACGGAAAACUCUUGGUACUUGUAUCGGGAGUUUUUAGUGGCGAACGGGUGAGUAACGCGUUGGUGACCUACCCCAAAGUGGGGGAUAACAGAUCGAAAGGUCUGCUAAUACCUCAUGUUGUCAUCGUUUUUAGAAAUCGAUGAUUAAAGGAGCAAUCCGCUUUGGGAGGGGCCUGCGUCCCAUCAGCUAGUUGGUAGGGUAAUGGCCUACCAAGGCGUCGACGGGUAAGGGACCUGAGAGGGUGGCCCCUCACAAUGGAACUGAAACACGGUCCAUACACCUACGGGUGGCAGCAGUAGGGAAUAUUGCACAAUGGGCGAAAGCCUGAUGCAGCAACGCCGCGUGUACGAUGAAGGCCUUCGGGUCGUAAAGUACUUUUCAGGGAGAUGAGAAAGGACAGUA